rnacentral:lncRNA from 1 species
AUGAGUUUCAGGCGCUUGAAAUGUUCUGGAAUCCAGAGUGUGGCUUUCUGUCCGGUGUUCCCAAAUAAACCUCCCAGGUGCAAGGACGCCUUUUAUCUGUCACUCUGUUGUCCUUGCCUGUUUCAUCGCUCGCAGCGUUCCUGGCCACGCGCGUGCGGGAAGGCAGAGCAAGGAGGAACGCUGUGGGGGCCCAGAGGAAGGAGUGAGGGGAUGGAGGAGGAAGUGGGCGGGCACCCAGGAGGACUGGAUCUGCUCCGGGUCAGUGCGCGCCUGAGCCUGCGGUGGGAGUGGUGCGAGCUGGGAAAGACAGAGGGCUCCUUGGUGCACAGUGAAAACGGAGACAACAAGGUUCUGGGUUCAAUCCCCAGUACAAAGCAAAACAACCAAAACAGAAGGAAGCUACUUCCGUCUCCUGAGAAAAUAAGAGGUUGCUGGUGGGGUGGGAGGCAGGAUGGGGCCAUCGGUCUCACCAGGGCUUAAGUCCAGAGGAAAAGGGCCAGGGAGGAGUUCCCAAGGUAGUUGUGAGACGCGAACAUUACUGAAAUAUGACUUUCAGGGGUCUGGGUUUUGCUGUGGUGACAACCACUGCAUCCUUCCACUCCUGUGGUGACGUCCACUGCAUCGAUGACGUCCUGUGUGCACGAUUCUCUCAGGAACCAAGGCCGAGGUGCACAUCUUCGUCGGGGGCCGCAGGGGAGCAACUGCCACGAAAUCGGUGGUAGCUGGGAGAGGUGCCAGUGACUCUCUAUUCGCUUUUAUUUUGCUUUUCCUCACUGGGACGGGACCUGGUGCCUCACACGUGCUAUGCAAGGUAUGGACCACUGAGUUACAUCCCCAGCCCUUGUUUCUCUCUGUGCUUGGUCAGUGCUGGGGUCGAAGGCGGUGCCUGGGGCGUGCUGGGCAAAUGCGCUACCACUGAGCCUCCCCAGCCCUGCACGCUUCUGGAGACUGGAGCACUCAGUGAGAGAGGACCCGAGGGCGUCAGAGACCCAGCCAUCUGCAAGAGCUGUGAGCCAGUCAGAAAGCCGUUUCUUCUGAGGGCAGGAGCAGGCCGAAGCGAGAUGGAGACACCAGCGUUUGGAAGGGUAAAGAGGCAGCAGAAGGGAGCCCACGCUGGCCAGGGACGUAGACAGAGAG